rnacentral:snRNA from 1 species
GCGCUUGCUUUGGCAGCACAUAUACUAAAAGUGGAACGAUACACAGACGAUUAACACAGCCCCUGCACAAGGAUGACAGCCAAAUUCAACAAAGCAUUCCAUAUUUUU